AACGCACAUUGCGCCCGCCAGUAUUCUGGCGGGCAUGCCUGUCUGAGCGUCAUUUCACCACUCGCCACCGGCUUCAGGGCUGGAAGGCGGCGUUGGGGAUCGGCUCCCUCCCACCUGGGAGGGUGCCGUCCCCUAAAUCUAGUGGCGGUCUCGCUGCGACCUCCUCUGCGUAGUAGUCAUCUUCUCGCAGGCGGAGAGCGGCGCGGUCCAGCCGUGAAACACCCAACCUUUUUAUCAAUGGUUGACCUCAGAUCAGGUAGGAAUACCCGCUGAACUUAA
rnacentral:misc_RNA from 1 species